rnacentral:rRNA from 1 species
AUCUAAUCUAGCAAUGGCUGGUUCCUACUGAAAUAUGCCUUCGUAUAGUCUUGUUUAGUUUGUUGACGGAGUAAAGUACGGAUGAAUUUUGCAGGGGCAAAUGCUUACGGAAAUUUUUCCAACUCAGAACCUGUUAACUGCUUAGAACAAGAAACAGGGUACGUAUGUAAGAUACGUUUCCGAGACCUGAACAAGGGAGACCAAAGUUAAGGUCCCAAAAUUCAUAUUAAGUGUAUCUAACGGUGUUUUGAACCUGAGACACUGGGGAUGUAAGCCCAGAAGCAGCUAUCAUUUAAAGAAAGCGUAACAGCUCACCCAUUGAGGUUCAGAGCCCGGAAAAUGGACGGGGCUAAAUAUGAUACCGAUACUUUGGAGGCAUUCAAGAUUGAAUGUUCUGGUAAGUAGGCGUGGUUUUUGUGCAGAAGGUUUUUCGAGAGAAAGGCUGGAACGAAAACCAAUGAGAAUCCUGGUAAUAGUAGGAUGUGAUUAUUCUGAGAAUGAAUAACGUCGAAAGGGCAAGGUUUUCUUGGCACUGUACGUUAGCCAAGAGUUAGUCAGACCCUAAGUUGUACCUUAACUGAAUACAACGAUGGAUGACAGGUUAAUAUUCCUGUACUAAUUGAAUUUUACAUAGUAAGGUUCGCUUCCGGAUAAGUUUGCACUCGAAAGAGUGUUCUAGAAAGAAAUUGUGUGAGGGUAAUCCUAAGACUGCAGUGAAUUUCUAGAUCGUUGCUGAUUCCAGGAGCCAGUGAAAAGAUUUUACUCUUAGUUCAAUUAACUGUACCCCACAACCGACACUGGUGCCCAGGCUGAGUAGGCCAAGACGUGUAAGAUAAAACCAACUAAGGGAAUUCGGCACAUUAGUCCUGUAGCUUCGGCUGAAGGGAUGUCUAUUUUUGUGAGCUUCAGAAAUGUGUUUGCAUUAAUAGAUCUCAGUAACAAGGACGGCCCGACUGUUUACCAAAAACGUAGCCAAGUGCUAAUCCGAAAGGACGUGUAUACUUGGUGAGACCUGCCCAGUGGUGGUGUCUAAAACUCCUUUUCAAGGGAGCUAAGGUCCAUCAAACGGCGGGGGUAACUAUGACCCUCUUAAGGUAGCGUAAUGCCUUGUCGUAUGAAUUGCGACGCGCAUGAAUGGUUUAACGAGGUUGUCGCUGUCCCUAGUUGGGGUCUUCUGAAAAUAUCACUCUGGUGCAAAGACCAGAGACACCUAGUGGGAAGCGAAGACCUUGUGGAACUUUACUGCAACUUGUUGUUGUAAUUUUACUGAAAUUGCAUAGCAUAGGUAGGAGCGUCGAGUCUGUCAUUUCGGUGGCGGAGGAGCGACUUUGUAAUACUACCCUUUUUUAAUAAGAUUGCUUACUCUUUAGAGGACAGCAGCAGGCGGGCAGUUUGACUGGGGCGGUGCCCAGCCGAAAAGAUAUCGGUUGGACCCAAAGACAGACUCAUCUAGCUUGGAAAUCUAGAGUUGAGUGCGAGGGCAAAAGUCUGUCUAACUGUAUUUUGAACAGUAAGAAAUGCAGAGUGGAAACACGGGCCUAGUGAACCCACGUGCUUUUUUAAUAGAAGCCGUGUCUGAUAGAAAAGUUACCCCAAGGGUAAUAAGCUGGUCGCUCCCGAUAGUCCACAUUGACGGAGCGGUUUGGUAUUUCGCUGUCGGCUCUCCCUAUCCUGCGCGUGCAGCAGCGUGCAAGGGUGUCGGAGUUCACGCAUUAAAAGGGAUCGUUAGCUGGGUUAAGAACGUCGCGAGACAGUUUGUAUGAUAUCUACUAGGUGUGUAGUUGUCUGAGUGGAACAAGUUUCUAGUACGAGAGGAACGGGACUUGGUUGCCUCUGGUGAGCAGUUGUUAAUGGCAGGCUGCAUAGCUACGCAAUGUGCGGAUAAGAGCUGAAUGCAUCUAAGCUCGAAGCCGUUCGCAAAACGAGACAACAAAGGCCGUCAUAGAAGAUGACGUUGAUAGAAUUCUUGUGUAAGAUUCGAGUGCGCAAGUGCGAGUAUUUCAGCAUAGAAUUACUAAAAGCCUCAAUUGAAUUUUUA